UUUUCAGUUUCAGUUUCCCAGAAAGGAGGUGGGCUUUUUUUUCACCCUGCUUUAAAAGCCCUUGGGCCCUUCCCAGCUGGGUGCCAGCCAACUGUGGCUGCCUGGGACACUCCAUCUUAAGUCCCUGUGCCUCUGCUGUGUGUUACUGAGUGCCUAGGCCGUGCCAGCCUGUAUUCAUCUGUACUAUGACCUGAAGAGGCAGAGGCCAUCACUGUUGGUCCGGUCUCCACCUGGGGAAACUGAGGUUGCACAGAAACAAGCUCCUACUUCCAGAAAAAGUGCUCCUGGGACUCCAGGAUACCAGGCAUCUGGACGCGGUGGUACAUGCCUGUAAUCCCAACACUUAGGCAGGAGGAUCACUCGAGCCCAGAAGAUCAAGACUAGUGUGAGCAACAAAAUCCUUCCCUGGCACCGGUUCCAGGAGGACCUCGUUCUUAGGCAGCAUCUGUGUCUCUG
rnacentral:lncRNA from 1 species